rnacentral:pre_miRNA from 1 species
GAGACACCCUUCUGGGGCAAGACUUGUAUCAGUGGGGCUUUGGUGCUCACUGAGUCUGCCCCGAGUGUGUCCUU